rnacentral:lncRNA from 1 species
AAUUAUUCAGUUGAUAAAUACAGGUGGUUUUUUCCCCUUUAGUAGACAUGUGCAAGUAAAUAUCCCUACCCCAUCAUCACUCUCUUUUCUUCUCCUCCUCCUCCCUCACCAAAUUAACCAAAGCAAUGAAGAAACUAAAACACUACUAUUCACACCACCACCACAACUCCUCCGAACAACAACAAAGAAAGUGUAUUUUCCCAUUAAUAACCAUUAUCUCUCUUUUCUCUCUCUUCUUCCUCCUCCUCUUUGCUCUCACGCUAACCCCUCUCUCCGCCACACGCGUCUUCCCAUUCUCUAUCUCCACCGCCACUCCUCCUCCCCCCUCCCCCUUCGUCGAGUCCAAGCUUUUUCCUCUCCCGACCCCACCCCCCUCCCCUCUCUGGCCGCGCCUCGUGUACCUCAUCUCCG